rnacentral:rRNA from 1 species
GGGUAGCCGGCCUGAGAGGGCGACCGGCCACACUGGGACUGAGACACGGCCCAGACUCCUGCGGGAGGCAGCAGUGGGGAAUAUUGCGCAAUGGGCGAAAGCCUGACGCAGCGACGCCGCGUGGGGGAUGACGGCCUUCGGGUUGUAAACCUCUUUUACCACCAACGCAGGCUCCGGGUUCUCUCGGGGUUGACGGUAGGUGGGGAAUAAGGACCGGCUAACUACGUGCCAGCAGCCGCGGUAAUACGUAGGGUCCGAGCGUUGUCCGGAAUUAUUGGGCGUAAAGAGCUCGUAGGCGGCGUGUCGCGUCUGCUGUGAAAGACCGGGGCUUAACUCCGGUUCUGCAGUGGAUACGGGCAUGCUAGAGGUAGGUAGGGGAGACUGGAAUUCCUGGUGUAGCGGUGAAAUGCGCAGAUAUCAGGAGGAACACCGGUGGCGAAGGCGGGUCUCUGGGCCUUACCUGACGCUGAGGAGCGAAAGCAUGGGGAGCGAACAGGAUUAGAUACCCUGGUAGUCCAUGCCGUAAACGUUGGGCGCUAGGUGUGGGGACUUUCCACGGUUUCCGCGCCGUAGCUAACGCAUUAAGCGCCCCGCCUGGGGGG